AACGAACGCUGGCGGCGUGCUUAACACAUGCAAGUCGAGCGAGAAAGGGGGGGCAACCCCCUGAGUAGAGCGGCGCACGGGUGAGUAACGCGUGGGUAACCUACCCCCAGGCGGGGGAUAACCACUCGAAAGGGUGGCUAAUACCGCAUGAGACCACGGGAUCUUCGGAUCCUGAGGCUAAAGAUUGCACCGGCUUGCCGGUGCCGUCACCAGGGGAUGGGCCCGCGUCCGAUUAGCUAGUUGGCGAGGUAAUGGCUCACCAAGGCUACGAUCGGUAGCUGGUCUGAGAGGAUGAUCAGCCACACUGGAACUGAAACACGGUCCAGACUCCUACGGGAGGCAGCAGUGAGGAAUAUUGCGCAAUGGGGGAAACCCUGACGCAGCAACGCCGCGUGGGUGAAGAAGGCCUUCGGGUCGUAAAGCCCUUUCGGACGGGACGAACGCUUCGCGGUGAAACCCGCGAAGUCUGACGGU
rnacentral:rRNA from 1 species